rnacentral:rRNA from 1 species
AACGAACGCUGGCGGCAGGCCUAACACAUGCAAGUCGAACGCACCGCAAGGUGAGUGGCGCACGGGUGAGUAACACGUGGGAAUGUACCCUUUGGUUCGGAAUAACGUUUGGAAACGAACGCUAAUACCGGAUGCGCCCUACGGGGGAAAGAUUUAUCGCCAAAGGAGAAGCCCGCGUCUGAUUAGCUAGUUGGCGGGGUAAAGGCCUACCACGGCGACGAGCAGUAGCUGGCCUGAGAGGAUGAUCAGCCACACUGGGACUGAGACACGGCCCAGACUCCUACGGGAGGCAGCAGUGGGGAAUAUUGGACAAUGGGCGGAAGCCUGAUCCAGCCAUGCCGCGUGAGUGAUGAAGGCCUUCGGGUUGUAAAGCUCUUUCGCACACGACGAUGAUGACGGUAGUGUGAGAAGAAGCCCCGGCUAACUUCGUGCCAGCCGCCGCGGUAAAAC